rnacentral:rRNA from 1 species
AGAAUAUUCCGCAAUGGACGAAAGUCUGACGGAGCGACGCCGCGUGGAUGAUGAAGGCCGGAAGGUUGUAAAAUCCUUUUAUGACUGAGGAAUAAGUGAAGUGAGAGAAACGCUUCAUGGUGACUGUAGGUCAUGAAUAAGCAACGGCUAAUUACGUGCCAGCAGCCGCGGUAACACGUAAGUCGCGAGCGUUGUUCGGAAUUAUUGGGCGUAAAGGGUAUGUAGGCGGUUCUGCAAGUCUGGUGUGAAAUGCCGGGGCUCAACCCCGGAACUGCGUUGGAAACUGCAGGACUUGAAUCGCUGAGGGGCAGCCAGAAUUCCAGGUGUAGGGGUGAAAUCUGUAGAUAUCUGGAAGAAUACCAAUGGCGAAGGCAGGCUGCCAGCAGAUGAUUGACGCUGAGGUACGAAGGUGCGGGGAGCAAACA